GGGGUUGUGGCUUAGUGGUAGAGCACUCACCUAGCAUGUUGUGAGGCACUGGGUUCGAUUCCCACCACCACA
rnacentral:tRNA from 1 species